GAUGAACGCUGGCGGCGUGCUUAACACAUGCAAGUCGAACGAAGCACCUUGAUUUGAUUCUUCGGAUGAAGAUCUUGGUGACUGAGUGGCUGACGGGUGAGUAACGCGUGGGUAACCUGCCUCAUACAGGGGGAUAACAGUUAGAAAUGACUGCUAAUACCGCAUAAGACCACAGCACCGCAUGGUGCAGGGGUAAAAACUCCGGUGGUAUGAGAUGGACCCGCGUCUGAUUAGGUAGUUGGUGGGGUAACGGCCUACCAAGCCGACGAUCAGUAGCCGACCUGUGAGGGUGACCGGCCACAUUGGGACUGAGACACGGCCCAAACUCCUACGGGAGGCAGCAGUGGGGAAUAUUGCACAAUGGGGGAAACCCUGAUGCAGCGACGCCGCGUGAGCGAUGAAGUAUUUCGGUAUGUAAAGCUCUAUCAGCAGGGAAGAAAAUGACGGUACCUGACUAAGAAGCACCGGCUAAAUACGUG
rnacentral:rRNA from 1 species